UGUUCUAACCUAUAGGUGACGUGAAUGCAGUGGGGAGUCAGGGGAUGCCUGCACCUUGGCUGGGGGUGAUGUAGAACACAGAACAUUUGUGUCCCUGUGUCCAAGCCUUUGGUAAUCUUAUCUAUAUGUUCUAUGCUCCUGCAUUUACUUUUCUUCCCCAAUAUCUUUUUAAUGAUCAUUUUAGUAACAGUACUGUCAACAUAUAUUACACUGAAAAUGCUGAAAGGAGUCCCUUUGGAAGGAGGCACACAGGCUGAAAAAUUGCUCUUCUUAUUUUCCUCUCCUUGCUAUUCCAGCCUCAACUGCUGUUCUCGGUGGAGACAACCACUAUGGGACCAGAGUAGAUUAAAAUAUAAGGCUGCUUUAAUGGUAAAAAGUUUCCCAGUAUUCAAAUUCAGUGAAAAAUGCCCUUAAGCUUUAAAAUAUAGAGAUAUAAUUCAGUGAUUUUUGGGGAAAACCUUCAAACAGCAAUCUAAAAAGAAAAGUUUGGAAAGAACCUAUAGUCAGAGCCUGGUUGUCCCAGGAGGUAAGGUUAUAUGGGUAUGGUGGCUUCUUGUAUGGUAUAACUAAAGGACAUGAAAGUCCUUCUGACCUUACACCCAACAGGCCAGGAGAAUUUUCCCUUGUGUAGUGACACUUGGUUGGCAUUCAUGCCAAAGGGCUUUUGUGAAAUGGUUGCCUGAGCAGAGUGAGGUGGCACUAUAGUAGCACAUCAACACAGAUUCCCCAUGUGCUCCCUGCACUGUCAGUCCCUAACAGGCAGGCAUAAAGCCUCUGCUGGAGCCACUGCAGGGAUGGGAGCUCAAGACUACUCAUGCCUACCCUCACCUGAGUAGCCCACUGUGGUUUGGGACAGCCUUGUUGUUAGAAAAAUCUUUGUUUUAUUGAGACCAAAACUUUCUCUAUAAACAUCACCUUUGGCUUAAAAUUUGGUCCCACUUCAUAGGGUUGUGUCAAGGAUCAAAUAGGGUAAUGCAUGUGAAUUCUAGAAUAAUAUACGAGUAAAAAAUCCUACACAAACUCAACUUUAGACUGGCUGGUGUCUUAUUGUGAAGUCCCCUGCCCCCAUCCCUAUGAUACCCACAUAACAUCCCCUUAUUCCCAGCUCUGGACACUUGCCUCUGCCAUUUCCACUGCUUAGAAGACCUAGGCCCAGCCAGGCACAGUGGCUCAUGCCUGUAGUCCCAGCACUUUGGGAGACCAAGGUGGGCGGAGCACCUCAGGUCAAGGAAUUCAAGACCAGCCUGGCCACCUGGUGAAACCCCAUCUCUACAAAAAUACAAAACUUAGCCAGGCAUGAUGGUUAAUCAUGUAAUCCCAGCUACUUGGGAGAUCAGUUAUGUGAACCAAUAAAUACCCUUUUUUGCUUAAGUUACUUUGAGUUGGGUUUCUAUUACUUGAAAUUGAAUCCACACUAAUAUAUCUACCAACAUUGAGACUUGACAGAUCCAAGUAUUUAUUAAGCUAGAGGUCAUGGUCACUGAAAUUACUUUGCAAAGUGGAAGACAAAAUGAAACAGGAACUGAGAGAAUAUUUAAGAUCCCGCAGAAGCAUAAAAAUGACAUGGUAGAAAGUAAUAGAAAACCUAAAUGUCUGUCAU
rnacentral:lncRNA from 1 species